rnacentral:rRNA from 1 species
GACGGAGGGUGCAAGCGUUGUUCGGAAUUACUGGGCGUAAAGGGCGCGUAGGCGGUUUGCUAAGUUCGGUGUGAAAGCCCCUGGCUCAACUGGGGAACGGCGCUGGAAACUGGCAGACUAGAGUACCGGAGAGGAGGGUGGAAUUCCUGGUGUAGCGGUGAAAUGCGUAGAUAUCAGGAGGAACACCUGCGGCGAAGGCGGGUUGCUGGGCUGACACUGACGCUGAUGCGCGAAAGCUAGGGGAGCGAACGGG